rnacentral:rRNA from 1 species
CCCGCACAAGCGGUGGAGCAUGUGGUUUAAUUCGAAGCAACGCGAAGAACCUUACCAAAUCUUGACAUCCUUUGACAACUCUAGAGAUAGAGCCUUCCCCUUCGGGGGACAAAGUGACAGGUGGUGCAUGGUUGUCGUCAGCUCGUGUCGUGAGAUGUUGGGUUAAGUCCCGCAACGAGCGCAACCCUUAAGCUUAGUUGCCAUCAUUAAGUUGGGCACUCUAAGUUGACUGCCGGUGACAAACCGGAGGAAGGUGGGGAUGACGUCAAAUCAUCAUGCCCCUUAUGAUUUGGGCUACACACGUGCUACAAUGGACAAUACAAAGGGCAGCGAAACCGCGAGGUCAAGCAAAUCCCAUAAAGUUGUUCUCAGUUCGGAUUGUAGUCUGCAACUCGACUACAUGAAGCUGGAAUCGCUAGUAAUCGUAGAUCAGCAUGCUACGGUGAAUACGUUCCCGGGUCUUGUACACACCGCCCGUCACACCACGAGAGUUUGUAACACCCGAAGCCGGUGGAGUAACCUUUUAGGAGCUAGCCGUCGAAGGUGGGACAAAUGAUUGGGGUGAAGUCGUAACAAGGUAGCCGUAUCGGAAGGUGCGGCUGGAUCACCUCCUUUCUAAGGA